AUUGAACGCUGGCGGCAGGCUUAACACAUGCAAGUCGACCGAGCGGCGGACGGGUGAGUAAUGCCUGGGAAUCUUCCUGAUGGAGGGGGAUAACUACUGGAAACUGUAGCUAAUACCGCAUACCAUCGGAUGUGCCCAGGUGGGAUUAGCUAGUAGGUGGGGUAAUGGCUCACCUAGCCGACGAUCCCUAGCUGGUCUGAGAGGAUGACCAGCCACACUGGUACAGAGACACGGCCCAGACUCCUACGGGAGGCAGCAGUGGGGAAUAUUGCACAAUGGGCGCAAGCCUGAUGCAGCCAUGCCGCGUGUGUGAAGAAGGCCUUCGGGUUGUAAAGUACUUUCAGUGGGGAGGCGUUACUCGCAGAAGAAGCACCGGCUAACUCCGUGCCAGCAGCCGCGGUAAUAC
rnacentral:rRNA from 1 species